rnacentral:miRNA from 1 species
UCCAGAAAGCAUGACUGCGGCGAUGAG